rnacentral:rRNA from 1 species
GCGAACGGGUGAGUAACACGUGAGCAACCUGCCCCUGACUCUGGGAUAAGCGCUGGAAACGGCGUCUAAUACUGGAUAUGUGACGUGACCGCAUGGUCUGCGUCUGGAAAGAAUUUCGGUUGGGGAUGGGCUCGCGGCCUAUCAGCUUGUUGGUGAGGUAAUGGCUCACCAAGGCGUCGACGGGUAGCCGGCCUGAGAGGGUGACCGGCCACACUGGGACUGAGACACGGCCCAGACUCCUACGGGAGGCAGCAGUGGGGAAUAUUGCACAAUGGGCGGAAGCCUGAUGCAGCAACGCCGCGUGAGGGAUGACGGCCUUCGGGUUGUAAACCUCUUUUAGCAGGGAAGAAGCGAAAGUGACGGUACCUGCAGAAAAAGCGCCGGCUAACUACGUGCCAGCAGCCGCGGUAAUACGUAGGGCGCAAGCGUUAUCCGGAAUUAUUGGGCGUAAAGAGCUCGUAGGCGGUUUGUCGCGUCUGCUGUGAAAUCCGGAGGCUCAACCUCCGGCCUGCAGUGGGUACGGGCAGACUAGAGUGCGGUAGGGGAGAUUGGAAUUCCUGGUGUAGCGGUGGAAUGCGCAGAUAUCAGGAGGAACACCGAUGGCGAAGGCAGAUCUCUGG